GAGGUACAGAUCUGUGUAACUGUAAGACACGGGGCUCGAGAAAGGGAUGGAAAGUGAGUUCACCUGAUCUUGGAAGCUGAGAACGGGCUGACCUGGUUGGAAGGUGGAUGGAGAAGAAGCAGCAAGGAACUCCUCAUGGGUUGGAUGAGGCCCAGCUCUGCUCCAUGGGAGUCAAGGUGAUGGGGAGAAAGUUGAGUGAUGACCCAAAAGACGUUUGCAUUUCUAGCAGUGUCCAUGGCUCAGCUGCAGCCCAGGAAGUGCCCAGGUCUUGGGUACAUAGCGACGGGAGGAGCAUUGAUCUGCUAGAAGCUGUGCCAACGUCCGUGGGAACCGCAACCCCUUCCCCUCGCCGUCUUGCCAGCAGCACUGGAUUAAUCUCUGAGAACAAGCACUCUGGGUUCCCAGAGGCAAAACAGGCUUUUGAUUUCUAUGAGCUAAGACUCCUCUGCAGGAGCGUGGUCUUGUGCCUUACUGUCAUUGCUUCUUACAAGGAUCACAUAAGCCAAAGAUCCCAGGAACCUCCUUGUGGGCAAAUAAGAAGGACAGGGUAAAGCUGUGGGGUGGACAAGGGAGUGACGCUGGAUACAGCUAUUCCUGAAACUGCUUACACUUGACACUAAGAUAAUAGAGUCUCUCUCUCACUC
ensembl:antisense Csmd2os CUB and Sushi multiple domains 2, opposite strand